rnacentral:rRNA from 1 species
AUGAUCAAGAGCUGCAAUUCCCAAGUGAUCAAGUUGAAGACUCAUCAUCUACUACUCCUGAAGAAUUACUUUCCUCGUGCUAGCCCUAUGCUUAAUGAAACAUAUCAUUCCCAUGCUAGUCUUGAGCUUAAUGAUAAAUAUCAUCCUCAUGUUAGUGUUGACUUUGCUGAUUUCUACCAUCCUAAACAUGUGCUUUAUAGCUAUGCUUAUGUAAUUGGAUACUCGAUUGAUGACUUGAAGGGUAUUAUCCCUACUGCUUGCAUUGUCUCUUUUGUGGAGUGUUCUUUCAGGUUUUUGCUUGUGCACGAAUCAAUACAUGCUGACCAGCUUUGA